GACGAACGCUGGCGGCGUGCCUAAUACAUGCAAGUAGAACGCACAGUUUAUACCGUAGCUUGCUACACCAUAGACUGUGAGUUGCGAACGGGUGAGUAACGCGUAGGUAACCUGCCUGGUAGCGGGGGAUAACUAUUGGAAACGAUAGCUAAUACCGCAUAAUAUUAAUUAUUGCAUGAUAAUUAAUUGAAAGGUGCAAUUGCACCACUACCAGAUGGACCUGCGUUGUAUUAGCUAGUAGGUGAGGUAACGGCUCACCUAGGCGACGAUACAUAGCCGACCUGAGAGGGUGAUCGGCCACACUGGGACUGAGACACGGCCCAGACUCCUACGGGAGGCAGCAGUAGGGAAUCUUCGGCAAUGGACGAAAGUCUGACCGAGCAACGCCGCGUGAGUGAAGAAGGUUGUCGGAUCGUAAAGCUCUGUUGUGAGAGAAGAACGGGUGUGAGAGUGGAAAGUUCACACUGUGACGGUAUCUUACCAGAAAGGGACGGCUAACUACGUG
rnacentral:rRNA from 1 species